rfam:Myotis brandtii contig184040, whole genome shotgun sequence.
GGUGGUUCUCGGGUGAUGUGAUGCACCCCGGAAUUGGGCUCCCUCCUCUCUGGUUCUGGGUGCAUCACCUGAGAACCACA